GACUCCAUGCUUCCAAUGCAAGGGGCACAGGUUCAAUCCCUGGUCAGGGAACUGAGAUCCUACAUGUUGUAUGGCACAGCCACAAAACAAAACAAACCAUGGGUUCAAGUCUCAGUCUGGGUUCCGACUGGCUUUGAGUCCUGGCCCGUAGAUCCCAUCUGAAUUUCAUGGUUUUAGCAGGACCUUAAAGGGGAGUGGAUGCGUUGGCAAGACUAGAUCUUGGAUACUGAGGCCUGGGGGUUUCCCUGUAGCUCAGAUAGUAAAGAAUUUGCCUGUAAUGCAGGAAACCAGGGUUCGAUCCCUGGGUCAGGAAGAUCCCCUGGAGAUGGAAAUGGAAAUGGCAACACAACUGAGGAACUAACACUGUUACUACACUGAGGCUCUGAGAAGCUAGUGUCCCAAGCCCAGUAUGGAAGCUGCCUGUCUUUGAGAAUCUGAACCUGGAGAGAGAAGGAAUGACCACAGUGGACUGAAGCCUCACCACAUGCACAAUCUUAGUUUCCUGACCAGGGAUUGAGUCCAUGCCCCCUGCAGUGGAAGUAUGGAAUCUUAACCACUGGACUGCCAGAGAAUCUGCAGUAUCCUGUUUUCAAUUUCACUGAUUUUUUGCUCUAAUUUUUAUUAUUUCUUCCAAGUCUAUGCCCCAACCUCCAAUGCCAAAGAAGCUGAAGUUGAGCAAUUCUAUGAAGACAUUCAAGAC
ensembl:lncRNA